UGAUGCAAUCAAACUUAUAGCAAAAUGUGGUAGUUCUGUAGUUGUUUCAGGGUUGGCAUCAACUGAGGUCCUCUGAGUGGUUGCAAUCAUCUCUUCUCCGGUGUUCUGGAUCCAGACUGAAGCUUGUGUAAACCCUUGUUAUCACGGGAUGU